CCUACGGGUGGCAGCAGUCGAGAAUCAUUCACAAUGGGCGAAACCCUGAUCGCGCGACGCCGCGUGGGGGAAUGAAGGUCUCCGGAUUGUAAACCCCUGUCAUGUGGGAGCAAAUUAAAAAGAUAGUACCACAAGAGGAAGAGACGGCUAACUCUGUGCCAGCAGCCGCGGUAAUACAGAGGUCUCAAGCGUUGUUCGGAAUCACUGGGCGUAAAGCGUGCGUAGGCUGUUUCGUAAGUCGUGUGUGAAAGGCGCGGGCUCAACCCGCGGACGGCACAUGAUACUGCGAGACUAGAGUAAUGGAGGGGGAACCGGAAUUCUCGGUGUAGCAGUGAAAUGCGUAGAUAUCGAGAGGAACACUCGUGGCGAAGGCGGGUUCCUGGACAUUAACUGACGCUGAGGCACGAAGGCCAGGGGAGCGAAAAGGAUUAGAUACCCCGGUAGUC
rnacentral:rRNA from 1 species